rnacentral:piRNA from 1 species
UUAAUUGAUAAAUAGAGAUAAAGGAGUGGG